rnacentral:rRNA from 1 species
GUUCUUCGGAAUUAGAGACCGGCGCACGGGUGCGUAACGCGUAUGCAAUCUACCUUUUACAGAGGGAUAGCCCAGAGAAAUUUGGAUUAAUACCUCAUAGUAUAGAUCAACCGCAUGGUUGGCUUAUUAAAGUCACAACGGUAAAAGAUGAGCAUGCGUCCCAUUAGCUAGUUGGUAAGGUAACGGCUUACCAAGGCGACGAUGGGUAGGGGUCCUGAGAGGGAGAUCCCCCACACUGGUACUGAGACACGGACCAGACUCCUACGGGAGGCAGCAGUGAGGAAUAUUGGACAAUGGGCGCAAGCCUGAUCCAGCCAUGCCGCGUGCAGGAUGACGGUCCUAUGGAUUGUAAACUGCUUUUGCACAGGAAGAAACAACUCUACGUGUAGAGUCUUGACGGUACUGUGAGAAUAAGGAUCGGCUAACUCCGUGCCAGCAGCCGCGGUAAUACGGAGGAUCCAAGCGUUAUCCGGAAUCAUUGGGUUUAAAGGGUCCGUAGGCGGUUUAGUAAGUCAGUGGUGAAAGCCCAUCGCUCAACGGUGGAACGGCCAUUGAUACUGCCUAGACUUGAAUUAUUAGGAAGUAACUAGAAUAUGUACUGUACCGGUGAAAUGCUUACAGAUUACAUGGAAUA